rnacentral:rRNA from 1 species
CUGCAUGGCUGUCGUCAGCUCGUGUCGUGAGAUGUUCGGUUAAGUCCGCUAACGAGCGCAACCCUCGCUGUGUGUUAUAUGUGUCACACAGGACUGCUGGUAUUAAGCCGGAGGAAGGUGGGACGACGUCAAGUCAGCAUGACCUUUAUAUCCAGGGCUACACACACGCUACAAUGGUCAGUACAAUGGGUUGCCAAGCCGCGAGGCGGAGCCAAUCCUAAAAAGCUGGCCUCAGUUCAGAUUGCAGUCUGAAACUCGACUGCAUGAAGUCGGAGUUGCUAGUAAACGCAGGUCAGCUAUACUGCGUUGAAUACGUUCCCGGGGCUU